UAAUAAAUUUAAAUAAAAAGCAAAGUGAGAAGUUAAUAAAAAAUUGCAUAAAAUAGUGAGAUUACAGAACUAAUAGUGAAUUAGGCUGAAGAAGUGUGCGCGAGCGCGCGCGUCUGUGCUUUUUUUUCUGCUUGUGCGAGGGAACUGGAGUGGUGGCGGCUGCGGUCGUUGGGUGCAAACUACCAGAAAGUUGGAAGUACAAAUUGUCGGAAAAUUGAAAACAAUAAAAAGAAAAUUAAAAAAAAA